rnacentral:rRNA from 1 species
AACGCCUGACGCAGCAACGCCGCGUGAGGGAUGAAGGUUUUCGGAUCGUAAACCUCUGUCAGAAGGGAAGAAACCGCACCGUGCUAAUCAGCGGUGCCUUGACGGUACCUUCAAAGGAAGCCCCGGCUAACUUCGUGCCAGCAGCCGCGGUAAUACGAAGGGGGCUAGCGUUGUUCGGAAUUACUGGGCGUAAAGCGCACGUAGGCUGCUUUGUAAGUCAGGGGUGAAAUCCCAGGGCUCAACCCUGGAACUGCCUUGGAUACUGGGUGUCUUGAGUACGAGAGAGGGGAGUGGAAUUCCGAGUGUGGGGGUGAAAUUCGUAGAUAUUCGGAAGAACACCAGUGGCGAAGGCGGCUCACUGGCUCGUAACUGACGCUGAGGUGCGAAAGCGUGGGGAGCAAACA